rnacentral:rRNA from 1 species
UACGUAGGGGGCAAGCGUUGUCCGGAAUCAUUGGGCGUAAAAGAGCGUGUAGGCGGCCAGAAAAGUCCGCUGUGAAAACUCGAGGCUCAACUUCGAGCUGUCGGUGGAAACUUUCUGGCUAGAGUCCGGAAGAGGAGAAUGGAAUCCUGGUGUAGCGGUGAAAUGCGCAGAUAUCAGGAGGAACACCGGUGGCGAAGGCGGGUCUCUGGGCCGUAACUGACGCUGGAGGAGCGAAAGCGUGGGGAGCGAACAGG